GCCGAUCUCGCGCCGGCACCUGGCAGCCAAUCGCAGGUCUCCACUGGACGCGCGCGUGUGGAGGCGUGCGCGUCGGCGGCGCCGGGGGCCUGAGGAGGCGUAGUCGCCGCCGGCUUUGCCCCGGGAGCGCCUCCGGGGCCGGUGCGUGGCCGGCAGCUCGGGAACAGCAGCUGAUCCGGACCGGUGGCAGUUUAUAUAAAGGAAGCAUUGGGACUUGUGGCCACACCAUUCAAGAAUAAAAAAAUUAGAAAAUGGAACAAUCAUGUGAAGAAGAGAAAGAGCCUGAACCACAGAAGAACAUAAAAGAAACCAAACAAGUAGAUGACGAAGAUGCUGAGCUCAUCUUUGUUGGUGUGGAACAUGUAAAUGAAGAUGCUGAGCUAAUCUUUGUUGGGGUGACUUCAAAUUCAAAACCAGUCGUUUCAAACAUUUUGAACAGAGUCACCCCGGGUUCAUGGUCAAGGAGAAAAAAGUAUGGUCACCUUAGAAAAGAUACUGCUAACAAAUUGCAGCCUAAAAGUCAUGAGACCCUUACAUCAGAAGCAGUGACCGUCCUGCCAGCUUCCCAACUUGAAUCGAGAUCAACAGAUAGUCCUAUUAUUAUUGAGCCUUUGUCUAAACCUGAUUAUAGAAAUAGUUCACCACAAGUUGUGCCUAAUAACUCUUCAGAAUUACCUUCUCCUUUGAUUACAUUCACAGGUUCAUUGCAUCAUCCAGUAAGUGCAGCACUUUCAGUAGGAGGUAUAAAUGAAAGUCCUCAUGUAUCAAAGCGACUUUCUACUUUCGAAGUAAACAGCAUAAAUCCCAAAAGGGCUAAACUCAGGGAUGGAAUUAUGGAAGGAAAUUCUUCAGCUUCGUCCCCUUCAGAUACCUUUCAUACAAUGAAUACUCAGCAAAGUACACCCUCAAACAAUAUUAAUACCUCAUUAAGCCAUGUUCAGAAUGGAGCACCUUUUCCAGCAGCUUUUCCAAAGGACAAUAUCCAUUUCAAGCCUAUAAAUACAAAUCUUGAUAGGGAAAAUGAAUUGGCAAAAACAGACAUUUUGAGUCUAACAAGUCAAAACAAGACCUUUGAUCCCAAGAAAGAAAAUCCCAUUGUGUUACUUAGUGACUUUUACUAUGGACAGCAUAAAGGAGAUGUGCAGCCAGAACAGAAGACUCACACCACCUUUAAAUGCCUCACCUGCGUGAAAGUUCUAAAAAAUGUUAAAUUUAUGAAUCACGUGAAGCAUCAUUUGGAAUUUGAGAAGCAGAGGAAUGACAGCUGGGAAAACCAUACCACCUGCCAGCACUGCCACCGGCAGUUUCCCACUCCCUUCCAGCUACAGUGUCACAUCGAAAAUGUCCACACUACCCAGGAGCCCUCUGCUGUCUGUAAGAUCUGUGAGUUGUCAUUUGAAACAGAUCAGGUCCUCUUACAACACAUGAAGGACCAUCAUAAGCCUGGCGAAAUGCCCUAUGUGUGCCAGGUUUGCCAUUACAGAUCGUCGGUCUUUGCUGAUGUAGAAACACAUUUUAGAACAUGCCAUGAAAACACAAAGAAUUUGCUUUGUCCCUUUUGUCUCAAAAUUUUCAAAACAGCAACACCAUACAUGUGUCAUUAUAGGGGCCACUGGGGAAAGAGUGCACACCAGUGUUCCAAGUGCCGGUUACAGUUUUUAACUUUCAAGGAGAAAAUGGAGCACAAGACCCAGUGUCAUCAAAUGUUUAAGAAGCCUAAGCAACUAGAAGGAUUACCUCCUGAAACAAAAGUUACUAUUCAAGUGUCGCUGGAACCUCUUCAGCCAGGAUCAGUGGACGUAGCAUCCAUAACUGUGAGCACAUCUGACUCUGAACCGUCACUCCCUAGGUCUAAAAGCAAAAUUUCAAAAAAGUCCCAUUAAUUCUAGUUUCAGUAAAUCUAAAAAGCACGUAUUUCAAACCAAAUUUAAAAACCUCAUAAAACAAAAAAUACAAACCAUACGUUAUUCAGUAGCACCAAAAAUAGUGAAACUAGUGGAUUAUACAUGACUUUUUAAACAAGAUUUAGGAUAUAUAUUAUUUGAUCUGAAUUUUGAGUUAUUAUUUUAAAACAUCUGGUUUUCAUGUUAACUGUAUCUGGCUUAACACAUAAAAGGUGUUUGUGUGUGUAUGUGUGAGAGAGAAAAAGGUAUUAAUUUAUUUUUUUAAUUUUAAUUUUUUUUUUUUUUUUUUUUUUUUUACUUUAGAGACAGGGUCUCACUGUUACCCAGGCUGGAGUGCAGUGGCGUGAUCCUAGCUCACUGCAGCCUUGAACUCCUGGGCUCGAGCAUUCCUCCGCCUCAGCCUUUGGAGGGUAGCUAGGACUACAGGCGCAGCCACCACACCCAGCUAAUUUUUUUAUUUUAAUUUUUUGUAGUGAUGGAAUCUCGUUAUGUCGCCCAGGCUGAUCUCGAACUCCUGACCUUAGGGGAGCCUCCUGCCUCAGCCUCCCCAAGUGCUGGGAUGUGUGAGGCACUGCCCCUGGCACCUAUUUAUUGUUUUGGUAUUUCAUGUUACUCCUAAGCUUGAAAGCUCUUUUUUCUAUAUACAGAAUUCAUAGAAUUUUUGAAAUACUUAGUUUUCUUUACAGCUUUUUUCAUGCAUUCAACAUUUCAUGGUUAACUCUAGUCAGACUGGAAUGGCUUUGUUAUGCCCUGGCCCACUUGCUGCUGAAUUCCCAGAAGUGCCUCUGCUGUGCUGGCAUAAAAUAACCUGAAAAGAUUCUAAAAAGCCAGGAUGUGGAAUUGAAAGAGAAGCUGCUGCAUGAGCAGAAACCAAGAAGGCAGAGGGGCUGUUUCACAGUAUUCUGGAGUACCUUUUGAGUAUUGGUUCCUGAACAUCAGCAGCCUUGGCUGCCUCUGUGGACUCCCGGAGUUGUCUCCCUGCUUGUGUUCUGGUGCCAUCCUUUGUUCCUCCGCCCCCGACCAAGGUGCCCAGCAGCCUAUCUUCACCAGUCAAGGAAUCUGCCAUCUUGGCUGUAGACAUAGGUCUGGAGAAAUAUCUCCCUUUUUCCUUGAUUUCUUUUUAAAGGUACCUUAUCUCUCCCCACUCCUUUCUUCCCUCCUCAAUCUAGUUAAGUUUCCUAAGCUUUCACAAAAAUCUGGGAAGAGAUAAUUAAGAGCUUAGCAUCCCUCUUAGAGUAGAAGGCAGUACAGAUAACAAAGAAGUUGUGAGUAUAUUAUCUACAUUAUAGAAAAUUUUCUGACUGUAGAUCCGUAGAUUCUGUUGUAUUUAUUUGCCUGACACUCAUUUGAUUGAUUUGCACCUUGAACACUAUACUAGGUCUUUUCAGUUACUUUGCUUGGGUUAAGACACUUUGCUAAAAUUACAGCCUGAAUCCUUUCUUUAGUUGAAGAAAGGGUAUGUGUGUGCAAGUGGGUAUGUGUGUGCCAGAUUUUCUUGUCUCAGGUAGAUACUCCUACUGUGUAUAAAUAGAUCUACAGACUUUUCAUACUUACCUCCCGUAUUCUGUUUCUGUGGUAAAAAUAUGAAAUGUUUUAGUUGUAUGUUGAGUGGUUGGUAUUAUCAACACUGUUGUUGUUUGCUGUUUCAUUAAAGCAUGCUCUUAAGGAGUACAUAUGGUCAUUAAUUGCCAACUAUAGAUUCCAGUGAUCUGGCCCCUGCCUACCUCCUUCCUCUCUUUUUCAUUCUCUGUCAUGCUUCUCCACUGUUUUCCCCAAUGAUGCACUAUUUUGACACACUGGCCUUGCUAUUCCUUAAGCAAAUCACAUUCUUCCCAAUCCAAAGACUUUGCACAUGCUAUUAUCUUUCUUAGAAUGCCCUUCCCCUAGGCCUGCAUGGCUUGCUACCUCAAUUGUUUGACACUUCCUUUGGUUCAUUGAGCUUCAAGGCUCUUAAAAUGCCACUGACAAUGAGAUCUCCCUUUAAAAAAAAAAAAAAAAAACUUUUACUUUUCCUCUUAAAGGCACUUUACUCUCUCCCCACUCUUUUCUUCCUCUUCAAAGUAUUUAAAUUUCCUAGGUUUUCAUGAAAAAGCUGGAAAGCGAUCAUCAUCAAGGGCUUUGCUUCUGUCUUAGAGUUGAGCUAGCUUGAGUCAAUUUCUGUGCCUGCAACGAAAUGAAAAUUAAUAUAGUGCGUUCUUUCAGGAGCUUUCUCUGUUUUUCUAUUGAUACCUCUAUAUAUUUUUAAGGCAAUGUCACUUUGUUUUGUUUACAAAUAUAUUGAAUAUGUCAAGAUUAGUAUUUUGUUAUUACCCUUUGUGAAUUUCCUUGUCUGUUUUGCUCGCUUGUUCUUUCAGAUGAAAUUUAUUAUUUUAUUAAUGUUGCCAAAAAUUAUAAGUAAAAUAUCAAUUAUAGUAAUAAAAUGUUUUGUGAAAAAAAUGCUGUUGCUGUAUUGUUGCUGUAUUGUCUUUCCUCCAUAAGUAAAAUGGGAUGUUUGUUUUGUUUUUUGAGACAGAGUCUUGCUCUGUGACCCAGGCUGGAGUAUAGUGGCACGAUCCCAGGUCACUGCAAUGUCCACCCCCUGAGUUCAAGUGAUUCUUCUGAGCAGCUGGUACUACGGGCGUUUGCCACCAUGCCCAGCUAAUUUUUGUACUUUUCGUAGAGAUGAGGUUUCAUCAUGUUGGCCAGGCUGGUCUCGAACUCCUGGCCUCAAGUGAUCUGCCCACGUUGGUCUCCCAAAGUGCUGGGAUUACAGGAGUGAGCCACCAUGCCUGGCCUAUUUUUAGUUUGUAAUUUUUAUUGAGUACCACUGUAUAAUCUUUGCCUUUGUGCCACUUGUGUUCAUUUUUAGCGUUAUUGCUACAGCCAGAACUUCUAAACAAUAUUUAAGAUGGAGUUAAUGGGCUUCUUUGUUCUUGGCUUUAAUGAGAAAUGCUUUGCCCUUAAAGGUAAUAAAUAUAUUGCUUAAAUAAUUUCUGUUUCCAUUUUUGGGGCCAGGUGUGGUGGCGCAUGCCUGUAAUCUCAGCACUUUGGGAGGCCAAAGUGGGUGGAUCACCUGAGGUCAGGAGUUUGCAACCAGCCUAACGUGGUGAAAUCCCCUAUCUACUAAAUACAAAAAAAUUAGCCGGGUGUGGUGGCGCAUGCCUGUUAUCCGAGCUACUUGGGAGGCUGAGACAGGAGAAUCGC